CCCCUACACUGCUCUCUAGUAGAUCAUUCCCCAGCCUAUACUGGAACCUGGGGUUGUUCCUGCCCAGAUACAACACACUACACUUGCCCUUAUUAUAUUUCAUUAAGUUUUUCUCUGCCCAGCUCUCCAGCCUGUCUAGGUCUUGCUGAAUGGCAGCACAGCCCUCUGGUGUGUCAGCCACUCCUCCCAGCUUCGUGUCAUCAGCAAACUUGCUGACAGUGCACUCUAUUCCCUCAUCCAGGUCAUUGAUGAAUAUAUUGAAUAAUACUGGUCCUAGUGCUGACCCUUGAUGGACUCCACAAGACACAGGUCUCCAACUAGACUCUGCCCCAUUGACCACCACUCUCUGGCUUCUUCCCACCAGCCAGUUAACAGUCCAUCUCACUACCUGAAAUUAUCUGAUUAAUUCUGAUAAUGAACGAGACUCUGGCAUGCUAAGUAGUUACGUGACUCCCGAGUGGUCGGCAUCCAACUUCUUAGAGGGAUAAGUGGCAUUGAGCCACCCGAGAUUGAGCAAUAACAGGUCUGUGGUGCCCUUGGAUGUCCGGGGCCACAUGCGCACUACACUGACUGGCUCAGCUUGUGCCUACCCUCCACCAGCAGGUGCAGGUAACCCAUUGAACCCCAUUCAUGAUGGGGAUCUGGGAUUGCAAUUCUUCCCCGUGAAUGAGGAAUUCCCAGUCAGUGUGGGUCAUAAGCUCGCAUUGAUUAAUUUAAGCCCUU
rnacentral:ncRNA from 1 species